GUUGAUCCUGCCGGAGGCUACCGCUAUUGGAGUUCGAUUAAGCCAUGCGAGUCGAGAGUCUUAGGGACUCGGCGUACCGCUCAGUAACACGUGGGUAACCUGCCCUAUGCUGGGGAAUAACCUCGGGAAACUGAGAAUAAUGCCCCAUAGUUCACUACGCCUGGAACGGUGAGUGGAUGAAAGCUCCGGCGGCAUAGGAUGGGCCUGCGGCGUAUCAGGUCGUAGGGGGUGUAACGUACCCUCUAGCCAUCGACGCGUACGGGUGUUGGGAGACAUAGCCCGGAGAUGGAUUCUGAGACACGAAUCCAGACCCUACGGGGUGCAGCAGGCGCGAAAACUUGGCAAUGCGAGAAAUCGUGACCAGGGAACUCCAAGUGGCUGGGGUAAGACCCAGUCUUUUCUUGACUCUUCAAAGGUCUUGGAAUAAGAGGUGGGUAAGGACGGUGCCAGCCGCCGCGGUAAUACCGGCGCCUCAAGUGGUAGUCGAUUUUAUUGGGCCUAAAACGUCCGUAGCCUGUUUGGUACAUUCGUGGGUAAAUCAACCAGCUCAACUGGUUGAAUUCUGCGAGCACGGCCAGACUUGGGACCGGGAGAGGUGUGGGGUACGCUCAGGGUAGGGGUAAAAUCCUGUCAUCCUGAGCGGACCACCUGUUGCGAAGGCGCCACACUAGAACGGAUCCGACGGUCAGGGACGAAGCCUAGGGGCACGAACCGGAUUAGAUACCCGGGUAGUCCUAGGUGUAAACGCUGUGGACUUGGUGUUGGGGAUUCUCCGAGGAUUCUCAGUGCCGAAGCGAAGGUGAUAAGUCCACUGCCUGGGGAGUACGGUCGCAAGGCUGAAACUUAAAGGAAUUGGCGGGGGAGCACCGCAACCUGAGGAUUGUGCGGUUUAAUUGGAUUCAACGCCGGG
rnacentral:rRNA from 1 species